rnacentral:rRNA from 1 species
CUACGGGUUGCAGCAGUGAGGAAUAUUGCACAAUGGGGGGAACCCUGAUGCAGCAACGCCGCGUGGAGGAUGACGCAUUUCGGUGUGUAAACUCCUUUUAUAUGUCAAGAAAAUGACGGUAGCAUAUGAAUAAGCACCGGCUAACAUCCGUGCCAGCAGCCGCGGUAAUACGGAGGGUGCAAGCGUUACUCGGAAUCACUGGGCGUAAAGGACGCGUAGGCGGGUUGGAAAGUCAGGUGUGAAAGCCUACAGCUUAACUGUAGAACUGCACUUGAAACUUCUAAUCUAGAGUAUGGGAGGGGGAGAUGGAAUUAGUGGUGUAGGGGUAAAAUCCGUAGAUAUCACUAGGAAUACCUAAAGCGAAGGCGAUCUCCUGGAACAUUACUGACGCUAAGGCGUGAAAGCGUGGGGAGCAAACAGGAUUAGAUACCCGCGUAGUC